GCACUAGAGGUAUGUCCGCUAAGCUUGGAAGUUACACAGCUAUGUUCCAUCUGCAUUUGUCUUCGACUUCAGCAAACUGUGUUUAUUCGGUGUUAUUGUUAGUGCAGCAUACAAUGUUUGAAAUGGAAUCCAAGCCCAAAAGGCUCAUUUAGGAAACAAGAACAUGAAGCUAGGAUCAGUGGAAAGCCAUUUUUAACGGGAAAGAAGAAACAGAUGUCUGGGAGAGAUCCCAUGUUUUCACAGAUUAGUUUAAGAUUAUGAAACUUAUAACAAACUGACGUUUAAGGGUCCCUGAUUGCCCUGAUGUUGGAUGCAGCAAGGACCUCUGAAACGUCGGUAAACUUAUACCAGACUACAGGGCACAUCAACCCAGAAGACAUCAAUUAUUAACAUAAACCCUUCAUUCCGUAUUAAGCAGAUGUCAUUUUAAUAACCACUGAAAUAUACUUUAACAGACAAUUUCAUCAUUCCAACCAAGUAUUCGGUGACUAUAGGACAACGCACUUAUUCAAGAGACAGAACCGUCCAAAUCGCCCUCCUGAAUAUCUCUUACCGCGUUCCUGGUUAUUUGUUUCAAAGCACAGACAGUAUGUUCAGAAACUCCUAGUUUUCUGUGACCGGAACGGGAUAUAAAAGUAUAUUUAAUUCACAGUUAAAAAAGUAAGCAACUGUUUGUGUUUAUUCAAAUCGGAAAUAUAUGAAUAUGAAUUAAGAUAAACAAACUAUUAACUAUUUUUAUAGUGUUAAUAGUUUGUUUGUUUGCUUAUUAUAUAUUCUAAUACACUACACGAUAUGCAAAGUUGUAACGGAAAUAGAUGGCGCAAAUGUUCUCUUGUAAUUUAAUUUUUUUCUGUCAUGUGAGGCCAGCCAUCGUUGAUCCUUGAGGUCGUUUGGUGUGUUUUUUCUGGUGUAGUUCUAAUUUAAAAAUUUAAGAUGGGCUAUGAUGGAAGUUCAAUCUCUCAGCGAGCUGAGCUUUUAAGAAAAAGAAUGUCAGUUUCCGUCUACAUGAUGCUAUGAAACUAUCUGAGGAAAAGUUUAGUAUCAUCACAAAGGAAGAAUGGAGCUCGAGGUGCAACAAAUCCCGUCAAUGCUAAUAGAAUUACUUCCGGUUGGAACCUGUUAUUGACGACAUUUCGGAAUAAAUUAUAGUUAAUUUUACAAAACCUCAGUGAUACCAGCAAUUGUAGCAGUAGUGAGGAAGAGGAGAGGAAGGAAGACGUCGCAAAAGAAGAUGAUGGGAAAUUAAGUGAAAUGUUCAUCAGCCGCUGUAUGAAAUUUUCUUUACCCACUAAAGGUACAAUUUGGCUGCACGCGACAGAGACAAGCGACCGAGG